rnacentral:rRNA from 1 species
AUGGCUCAGGAUGAACGCUAGCUACAGGCUUAACACAUGCAAGUCGAGGGGCAGCAUGAUCGAAGCUUGCUUGAUUGAUGGCGACCGGCGCACGGUGAGUAACGCGUAUCCAACCUUCCCCUUAGUAGGGCAUAGCCCGGCGAAAGUCGGAUUAAUACCCUAUGUUAUCCGUCGAGGACAUCUGAAGUGGAUUAAAGAUUUAUCGCUAAGGGAUGGGGAUGCGUCUGAUUAGGUUGUUGGCGGGGUAACGGCCCACCAAGCCUACGAUCAGUAGGGGUUCUGAGAGGAAGGUCCCCCACAUUGGUACUGAGACACGGACCAAACUCCUACGGGAGGCAGCAGUGAGGAAUAUUGGUCAAUGGGCGAGAGCCUGAACCAGCCAAGUAGCCGUGCAGGAUGACGGCCCUAUGGGUUGUAAACUGCUUUUGCAUGGGAAUAAAGUCGGGGACGUGUCCCCGUUUGUAUGUACCAUGAGAAUAAGGACCGGCUAAUUCCGUGCCAGCCGCCGC